UACAGAGGUCUCAAGCGUUGUUCGGAAUUACUGGGCGUAAAGAGUGUGUAGGCGGUGCUCUAAGUCUGUUGUGAAAUCUCCCGGCUCAACCGGGAGGGUGCGCCGAAUACUGAGGGACUAGAGUACGGGAGAGGAAAGUGGAAUUCCUGGGUGUAGCGGUGAAAUGCGUAGAUAUCAGGAGGAACACCGGUGGUGUAGACGGCUUCUGGACCGUAACUGACGCUGAGACACGAAAGCGUGGGGUAGCAAACAGG
rnacentral:rRNA from 1 species